rnacentral:rRNA from 1 species
GAUGAACGCUGGCGGCGUGCCUAAUACAUGCAAGUCGAGCGAACAGACGAGGCGCUUGCUCCUCUGACGUUAGCGGCGGACGGGUGAGUAACACGUGGAUAACCUACCUAUAAGACUGGGAUAACUUCGGGAAACCGGAGCUAAUACCGGAUAAUAUAUUGAACCGCAUGGUUCAAUAGUGAAAGACGGUUUUGCUGUCUCUUAUAGCUGGAUCCGCGCCGCAUUAGCUAGUUGGUAAGGUAACGGCUUACCAAGGCAACGAUGCGUAGCCGACCUGAGAGGGUGAUCGGCCACACUGGAACUGAGACACGGUCCAGACUCCUACGGGAGGCAGCAGUAGGGAAUCUUCCGCAAAGGGCGAAAGCCUGACGGAGCAACGCCGCGUGAGUGAUGAAGGUCUUCGGAUCGUAAAACUCUGUUAUUAGGGAAGAACAAAUGUGUAAGUAACUAUGCACGUCUUGACGGUACCUAAUCAGAAAGCCACGGCUAACUACGUG